rnacentral:tRNA from 1 species
AGAGAACUGGCUGAGCGGUUUAGGCAACGGCUUCAUAAGCCGUGGACGAUUGUCCAAGGCGGGUUCGACCCCCGCGUUCUCUACCA